GGGCCCGUGGUCUAGCCUGGUUAUGACGUCGCCCUUACAAGGCGAAGGUCCCCGGUUCGAAUCCGGGCGGGCCCACCA
rnacentral:tRNA from 1 species